rnacentral:rRNA from 1 species
AACAACUCUCAGCAACGGAUAUCUUGGCUCUUGCAACGAUGAAGAACGCAGCGAAAUGCGAUACGUAGUGUGAAUUGCAGAAUUCCGCGAAUCAUGGAGUCUUUGAACGCAAGUUGCGCCCGAGGCUUGACCAAGGGCAUCUCUGCCAGAGCGUCACCG